rnacentral:rRNA from 1 species
UACGUAGGUGGCAAGCGUUGUCCGGAUUUACUGGGCGUAAAGGAUGCGUAGGCGGACAUUUAAGUCAGAUGUGAAAUACCCGAGCUUAACUUGGGUGCUGCAUUUGAAACUGGAUGUCUAGAGUGCAGGAGAGGUAAGUGGAAUUCCUAGUGUAGCGGUGAAAUGCGUAGAGAUUAGGAAGAACACCAGUGGCGAAGGCGACUUACUGGACUGUAACUGACGCUGAGGCAUGAAAGCGUGGGGAGCAAACAGG